AGUGAACAAUUCAACGGCCGCGGUACCCUAACCGUGCAAAGGUAGCAUAAUCAUUUGUCUAUUAAUUGUAGACCAGCAUGAAAGGCAAUAUGAGGGUCUAACUGUCUCUUAUAAUGAAUCAAUUAAACUGAUCUUCUAGUAAAAAAGCUAGAAUCCCACCAUAAGACCAGAAGACCCUGUGAAGCUUAAACUAAACUAUUAAGACAAAUAAUAGCUACUUUCGGUUGGGGCGACCUUGGAAAAAAAAAGAACUUCCAACAUACUAAUAACCGAACCACAUAGGCCCACAAGCCACACACUAAUGACCCAGCAGGACUGAUCAUUGAACCAAGUUACUCCAGGGAUAACAGCGCUAUCUUCUUCAAGAGCCCAUAUCAAAAAGAAGGUUUACGACCUCGAUGUUGGAUCAGGACAUCCUAA
rnacentral:rRNA from 1 species